rnacentral:rRNA from 1 species
GGGGAAUUUUGCGCAAUGGACGAAAGUCUGACGCAGCAACGCCGCGUGGGUGAUGAAGGUCUUCGGAUUGUAAAACCCUGUCGUCAGGGACGAAGGUUGGGAUCCUAAUACGGUUUCAGCUUGACGGUACCUGGAGAGGAAGCCCCGGCUAACUCUGUGCCAGCAGCCGCGGUAAUACAGAGGGGGCAAGCGUUAUUCGGAAUUAUUGGGCGUAAAGGGCGCGUAGGCGGUUUUGUAAGUAGGAUGUGUAAUCCCCGGGCUUAACUUGGGAACUGCAUCCUAGACUGCAAGACUAGAGUGCUGGAGAGGGUGGUAGAAUUCCACGUGUAGCGGUGAAAUGCGUAGAGAUGUGGAGGAAUACCAGUGGCGAAGGCGGCCACCUGGACAGUAACUGACGCUGAGGCGCGAAAGUGUGGGUAGCAAAC